GGAAGUUUUCGGAUGGAAUUCGAUUGACUGAGUGGCGGACGGGUGAGUAACGCGUGGAUAACCUGCCUCACACUGGGGGAUAACAGUUAGAAAUGACUGCUAAUACCGCAUAAGCGCACAGUACCGCAUGGUACGGUGUGAAAAACUCCGGUGGUGUGAAAUGGAUCCGCGUCUGAUUAGCCAGUUGGCGGGGUAACGGCCCACCAAAGCGACGAUCAGUAGCCGACCUGAGAGGGUGACCGGCCACAUUGGGACUGAGACACGGCCCAAACUCCUACGGGAGGCAGCAGUGGGGAAUAUUGCACAAUGGGCGAAAGCCUGAUGCAGCGACGCCGCGUGAGUGAAGAAGUAUUUCGGUAUGUAAAGCUCUAUCAGCAGGGAAGAAAAUGACGGUACCUGACUAAGAAGCCCCGGCUAACUACGUGCCAGCAGCCGCGGUAAUACGUAGGGGGCAAGCGUUAUCCGGAUUUACUGGGUGUAAAGGGAGCGUAGACGGCGAAGCAAGUCUGAAGUGAAAACCCAGGGCUCAACCCUGGGACUGCUUUGGAAACUGUUUUGCUAGAGUGUCGGAGAGGUAAGUGGAAUUCCUAGUGUAGCGGUGAAAUGCGUAGAUAUUAGGAGGAACACCAGUGGCGAAGGCGGCUUACUGGA
rnacentral:rRNA from 1 species